UGGAUCAUCGCUGGCGUACUUGGCGGUUUCCUGUUCCGCCCAGGCGACGAAUUGGGGGUCGGCCUGGCGUUGGUGGGAUUCCAGCUGUUUCUUC
rnacentral:tRNA from 1 species